AGUUAGCAUGCUGUGAGGAAGCCGAGGCCAAGGGGGAAGGCCCACAGGACAGAUUCUGAGACCUGGUCCUCAACCUCGAAUCGGGAGAGAGCCACGGCGAGGCUGACAGUGAUCCCCACGCAGACUGCAGCCAGUGGGAUGGACUGUGACAAGCAGCAAGAAGGUCACAUUUCCCAGGCCCUGAGCUGAGAACAAGUCAUGGCGUAUCACUAGCCAGGAAAUUUUAGCUCAGCAUAUGGCCACUUAGACUAAAGUCUGGCCAAUAAAAUAAUGUGGAGGAUGUCAUCUGGGAGCAUGAGAGAGACAGCCACGCUACGGAGGGCCAACGUAGGAGCUUAGGUCCCUCAGGACACAGCGGAACAAAGCUGCUACACCAACUUUGGGUCUAUAUGGGGCCAUAUAGGGCUAUCCAUUCCACCACGUUUCAUAGAGGAG